rnacentral:hammerhead_ribozyme from 1 species
AUCCAGCUGACGAGUUUCAAAUAGGAGGAAACAUGUGGCCUGCAU